GUGUAAUGAUGAAAAUUUUAACCAGUUCUGCUACUGAGACCACAGUGCUGAUUUAUACCAUUUCUGAUACAC